rnacentral:rRNA from 1 species
AGAUAUAAAGUGGCGCACGGGUGAGUAACACGUAGGUAAUCUACCUUUGAGUGGGGAAUAACUUAGGGAAACUUAAGCUAAUACCGCAUAAUGCAGCGGCAUCAUAAGAUGACAGUUGUUAAAGCGAGCAAUCGCGCUUAAAGAGGAGCCUGCGGCAGAUUAGCUAGUUGGUAAGGUAAUGGCUUACCAAGGCUACGAUCUGUAACCGACCUGAGAGGGUGGUCGGUCACACUGACACUGAAUAACGGGUCAGACUCCUACGGGAGGCAGCAGUCGGGAAUUUUGGGCAAUGGGCGAAAGCCUGACCCAGCAACGCCGCGUGAAGGAUGAAGUCUUUCGGGAUGUAAACUUCGUAAGAAUAGGAAGAAUAAAUGACGGUACUAUUUGUAAGGUCCGGCUAACUACGUGCCAGCAGCCGCGGUAAUACGUAGGGACCAAGCGUUGUUCGGAUUUACUGGGCGUAAAGGGCGCGUAGGCGGCAAUUCAAGUCAGUUGUGAAAUCU